UAGAUUGCACUCUCCAUUUCGACGCAGAUCGCCCUCAGCAAUUCACCAUAGAUCUCCCUCGCCUAUUCGGCGUCAUAGAUCUCCCUCACCCAUUCAACGUCGUAGAUUGCCCUCGCCCAUUCGACGCCGUAGAUCGCCCUCGCCCUUUCGCCGUAGAUCACCCUCGCCCUUUCGCCGUAGAUCACCCUCACCCAUUCGACGCCGUAGAUCGCCUUCACCCAUUCGACGCCGUAGAUCGCCUUCACCCAUUCGACGCCGUAGAUCGCCU
rnacentral:misc_RNA from 1 species